rnacentral:lncRNA from 1 species
GCAGACUAAAAGUCUCACACAAAACCCACUAAUUUUACAAAUUUCUUCCAAUUCUACCCCUCUACCCUUUUAUCUAUACUAGGUUUCAGUGAUUUCGUGCUUGAUUAUUGAUGAUUGUAACCGAAGAUUCAAUGUUGGGUGAAAAUUGAAGACGCGAAUUGAAUUUGCCCUAUCGUUUCCAUUCCCUCGUCAGGCUUCUCCUAUGCCCUGAGUUGUAAUUAGGUUAUUCUGCCUUGCAAUCUCAUAAUCGUCCACUCUCAAUUGAUUAGUCGAAAUUUAAGAAGAGUCCAUUCACAUCCCCUCACCGCUCUCAUCAAUUGGCAUGCGUAUUUAUGCAGAGGACACCUUGAUUAUUCUUCAAUUGUUUUCUUGGAGAACCACAACCUCACAUCAAAAUACGAUUUUCACAGUUAUAUGAUCCGUUAUACGGAAUAACCGAAUAAGAGUUUCAAAGAAUAGUUGGAGUAAGGUAAUGAUGUUUCUUUCUUUCUUAUUUAUUUAUUUUACCCGUCUUUUGGUUAUAUGGUAUAGGUGGGAAUGAUGGAAGUGGAUCUGGUGAUUGGAUUUAUGAUGGUGCUGGUGAUCAAGAUCAGCAAUUGCAUGUUUUUACGGACCUGAAUGUUAUGCUCACCAACUGUUCGAAGAAUGUCCUCACACAAGAUCUUCAGCUGAAAUUAUCAUACAGGUUACAUGUCCCUUUGGUUUUAGUGAGUUUGAUUUAUCUGAUAUUGUGGACGAUUCUUUUGUUAGAAUUUUGUGAAUCCUUGAUUAUAUGAUAUAAUGAGUCGCUGGUGAAACACAUCGGCAUGGAUCCGGAAGGCUAUGGUCAUAUCACAUUAGAUUUUUACAAUUUAGAGUAUCAAUUUUUAUUUUAAAUUUAGAUAUGAAUUAUCAUAUUAAUUGCAUAUUAUAUCUUUGAUCUUUCGUCAAUCAUUUUACUUGAGGUCAUAACUGGUAACUUGAGGCUGGACGAUGGGCGGGUGCAGGG